AUGAACGCUGGCGGCGUGCCUAAUACAUGCAAGUCGAGCGAACGGACGAGAAGCUUGCUUCUCUGAUGUUAGCGGCGGACGGGUGAGUAACACGUGGAUAACCUACCUAUAAGACUGGGAUAACUUCGGGAAACCGUAGCUAAUACCGGAUAAUAUUUUGAACCGCAUGGUUCAAAAGUGAAAGACGGUCUUGCUGUCACUUAUAGAUGGAUCCGCGCUGCAUUAGCUAGUUGGUAAGGUAACGGCUUACCAAGGCAACGAUGCAUAGCCGACCUGAGAGGGUGAUCGGCCACCCUGGAACUGAGACACGGUCCAGACUCCUACGGGAGGCAGCAGUAGGGAAUCUUCCGCAAUGGGCGAAAGCCUGACGGAGCAACGCCGCGUGAGUGAUGAAGGUCUUCGGAUCGUAAAACUCUGUUAUUAGGGAAGAACAUAUGUGUAAGUAACUGUGCACAUCUUGACGGUACCUAAUCAGAAAGCCACGGCUAACUACGUG
rnacentral:rRNA from 1 species